UACAGAGGGUGCGAGCGUUAAUCGGAAUCACUGGGCGUAAAGCGACCGCAGGCGGUCUGACAAGUCGGAUGUGAAAGCCCCCGGCUCAACCGGGGAAGUGCAUCCGAAACUGGCGGGCUAGAGUACGAAAGAGGGUCGCGGAAUUCCCGGUGUAGAGGUGAAAUUCGUAGAUAUCGGGAGGAACACCGGUGGCGAAGGCGGCGACCUGGGUCGAUACUGACGCUGAGGUGCGAAAGCGUGGGGAGCAAACAGG
rnacentral:rRNA from 1 species